rnacentral:lncRNA from 1 species
AGAGGGCAGAUCCAACUGAGAGACUCAAGGUGUAAAAACACAGAAUGGAGUGUUUUCUAGGCAGCCAAUGCAAAGGCACUCCCAGAAAACAAGAGAUUCUCUAGAGAGGUAUGGUAAAACAGGGUGAGAGUAGUUUAAAAGUGAUAAGCUGGAAAGUCUAAAAUAAGCAGGAGACUAGUCAUCAUUGUCAAAAGAGUCUGAAUGAACUUGGCUCAUUAUUGAUUAAAAGGAACUUCCCAUAUGACAGUUUAAAAGUUAAUAAGGAGCUGAUUACACGAACACAUUAUAACUCCAAAAGGUAUUUAGCAUACCCAUAAUUUGAUGUUUAACAUUUCAAAAGCAGUUAAGUUUCAUUUUUUAAAAAUCCUACUAAUUUCUCUGCUUCCUCCCCACUUCCCUUCCCACACACUCAAACCUUUCCGUAAACUUGAGAAACUUGACAUAUUUAGUUGUCUCAUCCCUCAUACAACUAAUUUUGCCAAAUAUGAGUCUUACUGAAAUAGAAAUUCUUUGGCCACUUUUACACUGUUCCCAAAUGCUUAAAAUGGUUUAAUGAGCACAGGAAAAAUGACCAAUACUUUUAAUAUAAUAUUAAGCUAUAAUUACAUAAAAAUAAUUAUUCAACUAAAGGAUCAAAAGUUUCAGAUAAGCAAGCACUUCUCUACAUAAUGCAGUCACCCUGGUUUUUUAUUUUGAGCACCAAGUAUUAAAAUUACAAUUAAUUAAAUACUGCCCCGCCACACACAUACUUUUAACUCUCUUAUGUAUUUAUUAAACACAUGCUACAUGUCAGACACUGCACUCAACAUCCACUAUUCCAUGUAAUCCUCUCAAAAGCCCAUCUGAAGGAUGCUAAGAUCAGACAGAAGUUCAGAGGCAAGCAAUUCAAACCAAAGUCAGUUUCUACUGUGCCACUCUACAUUCUUAAGAAAAAAUGCCUUCAUGACCAACACCUGGGGAAAAAAACUCUUCUCUCAUAGCAGCCUGAAUCUACAGAUGCUUGUCGCUGUCACCCCACCUUCAUCCCCAUAUGCAUCCUUCCAACCCAGGCAGAGAGGAUGACUUACCGCAUUGGAACAUAGCACCCUUGCCCCAGCCUUUCCUAUUCCUUCCCUGUUUUUGCGUAGAUAAGCCCACUCAUUAUUGCCAUUAAAAUUUCUUAACAUACAUAACAUAAACUGAGUUAAUCAUAAGCGUGUACAGCUCUGUGUUUACUUACCAAGACACAGAUGCGCCAGGCAUUUCCAUUCUGACCCUUUCCAAUCAAUAACCUCUGUCCAAAGGUGACUGCUCUUGUUUUCCAUUACCAUGGAAUUUCUAUUACCAUGCUUCUUUUGUACUUUUUGCAAAUGAAAUCCUUUAGUAUGUAUGCUUUUGUAUUUGGCUUCUUUUGCUCAACAUAUAUCCACUCAAUGCUGAAAACACAAGGCUCACUUCCUCCAGUGGGGGCUCCUCUGAUACAUAAACCAAUCCUUCCAUCUCCAUCCCAGUCUGAUAAUCCUGUUUCUAGGGCACCCCUCUGCACAAUUCUAUUAUAUUGCUGGUCAACAGUAAGCCUCAUAAAAGCAGGCAGCUUAUCCAUUUGGUUCACUGCAUUAUCUCUACAACAUUGCCCAACACGUAACAGGGGCUCAGUAUAUGUCUGCUAAUGAAUGAAUUAUAUAACUCAUCACAUAUUGAGCCCAAUCAUUUACUGACUCAUCUGCUUCUCUUACCAGGCUAUAAACUCCAGAAUGGCAGGAAUUGGGCCUUGUUCUAAAUAAUAUUCUGAAGCACCUAUGUGUCAGAGGACAAAGCAAGUCUGGUAUGUUAAGCACCUAACCCAGGCAGUCUGAAAUCAAAGAGGUGGUGUUACGCAGCAGGUGUUUACAAAAUAAUGAUGGAAGGCAGGAAGGGUGGAAACUGUGGUAUCUUGAAAGACAGGCAUUUUCAAAGAUUAAGAUGAGGCUGGGCCUUGAUCAAGAUGGUGUGUCAAGUAGUAAUAUGCACAAUUUAUAUAGAA